CGCGAGAUUACGUAUGCAUCGUACAAAUUUUAAUCGUGCUUGUAUGUGUGUGGUAACAUGAAUCAUUACAAUGGAGUGUAAAACAGAUAUUAAAAUAUAUUCGAGAAAUCUUCAGUACAAUACGCAACAUUGCCCGAUUAAGCAUUGCCGUGACAAGCUCUUGAUAAGAUGCUGCUCGUAUAUUUCAAAAAGUCCGUUGCAAAAUUGUUGCAAAAUUGUUGCCUUUAGAAGAGACAGAGGAAAUAAAUUUUCUAUCUUCUAGUUAUCAAAUUUUCAAGACCAAGUAAAAGAUAAUUGGAUCUAUGAUCUCGAGUACACGUUUGACGUAGAAGUAGAUGGGACAUUCUACUCGCAGCGCAAGUGAGUGGCUUCAUUCAAAAACCCACGGGACGAGCGGACGAGUACGCUGCUCGUACAGCUGCUUCAAGUAUAUCGUUUAAAUAACGCAAGACAAUUUAAUUACUUUCGAUCCGCUAUUUAGAUCAUUGGUCUAUCGAUGCACUGCAAGUGCUCGAUCCUUUUAGGGCGUUAUCCUAAAAUGCGACGCCCCGUGACAAAGAACGGAGAACGGGUCCGGUAAAUUGGAACUCGCUAAUCGUAAGAAGAGGUCAGUAGUGCAGUAUAGCCGCUCGUAUAAGAGCGCAGCUCGAACAUCAGUAACUCCAUUAAAGUAGAUCAACGUUGCACGCUGUCACCAUGAACGUGAUAGUGAUACCGUUCUUCAUCGCCGCGCACAUCACCAUGGACAAGCCAUGGGAACACGGACCGGAGUAUACGUUCCAGGUCCAGGUGAACUCGACGGCGGUCCCGGGGGAGGACGUCUACGGCAGCAUGCGGUUGAACCUCGAGUCGAAGCUGAUCUGCCAACCGAAGGGUCCGUACGCGCUGAGCUGUCACUUUGAGGACUCGCAGGCGAGUAGCUUCAUCGCGGACAGUCUCGAUCCAUCAGAGCCCGCGGUCCCGACCGGCCAGGUCAGCCGGCAGGCGGCCUACGAGAUCAACGAGGACCAGUUCGAGAUCAGCUUCAACGAGCGCGGCGUGGACGGUUUGGUGGUGAAUGAGAAUAUCCAGCCACGCGAGCUCGACAUGAUCAGAAUGAUCGUGGGCCAGAUGAGCGUGGGCGCCGCCCUCGACGACGACAUCGGCAACGACGGCAUGACCUUCGGCGCGAUGGAGAACUUCACGCAAGGUGAGUGCUACACGACCUUCAAGAUCGACAAGAAACUCGUGGGCCGGUCGUUGUACGCGAAACGCGGCUUCGCGCUCAAGCCGAUCUUCGGGCUGAAGGACGGCAAGCUGGUGCAGAUACGGAAGACUAGGAACCUGGUCAUGUGCACGCACAAGGUGCCGUACUUCUUCGGCAGCGUCGAGAGCUUCAGGGAGGAAAGUGACAUCAUGUCUGACAUGAGCAUGUCGGAUGGUCACAUCAUCAUAACGUCGACUGAAUUCAUAUCCGGUACGUCGAACGUGAUAACGACGAGCAAAAUAAGCGAGGCGGUGGUGACGACUCUCUAUGAGAACGUGCGGCUGAGACUCGAGUCGAUUCGACCUGCGGAGAGCGAACCGCCGGCUGUGAAGGAAGCCGAGCCCGCGACUAUCUUCAUAGGCAGGUGGUUAAUCGACGACUCGACAUCCGAGGAGGAUGAUGACGACAUGAUAAGAUGAUUAGCCUAUCAAAAACGAUCGCGUUAUCGGUGCUACGUUGUGCUCGAACGAGUGCGGUGUGAGGCACGAGAUCGACAAAUGGAGCGGUAACAAAUUUGCAACGAGGAAAAUUGCAUUCUCGCUCCUCGCAACCGCAAUGAGCUGUUAUUAAUAUCAAUAUCAAAGAAAGUUUUGUUCUUAAGAACGUGAAGAGAUUACUGAAAUACAAAUUGAAGAAUUGCACUGCGAUUGUACAUAAUUACAAUAUUUUUAAAGGUAUGUGUGCGCAUAGUGUGUUGAUUUUUAUUGAAAAUAUAUAUGAAUAAAAAGAAAGCUCUUACAGCAGAA